UCCCAUGAUCCUCCCUGGCCCACACCUGCACUCACUCCUCCACUCAGCAUUCACCUGCACCUGAUACUCAUCAUCCACUCAUCACCACAGAUACUUAAGCACUCGACUCACUUCAGUUCAAUGUCCGUUCUCGUUUGGUAAAGGACUGUAUUCCCAAGCUAACCUUAAGGACCCUUGUUUUAGAUCUCCAACGUCUCCAGCGAUCUCCUACGUCUUCCUUGUUUCCUGUCUCCUCCUGUGUUCCUAUAGUUUUUUCCUUAUGAUGAAUGAUCCAGUGCUCAAGAAGUAAUAAAUACUACAAACCUUCAAGAACCCAAUGAAAUAUUUUGUUGUAGGCCAUGCAAUGCAGAUGUCUACGACAAAAAGAAAAGACAAAAAGGUUUUUACCAGAUGCAACAAUGGCCUACUCCAUUAAAUUUCAGCGCGACGACGGUCACAAGGAUCAAAAGGAUAAGGUUUUUACUGGAUGACGUAACAAUGGCCUACUCCAUUGGAUGUCAGCGCGACAAUGGUCACACAGAUCAACAGAAUAAAGCUUCUCUAGGGGGUGAAGUCAGCUUGACCUAAUUACACUCAAUUGGCUGCUCACCUGCGUAGCACAGACCAAGAGCUUAAAAUGGAAUAAUGAUUUACUGCAAUUAUUUACAUGUUGCCUUAUUUUAUAAACAAACCAUAUUUAAUGUGAAAUAUUUUGUAUCCCAUCUUUUAUCUUAUUAUUUAUUAUUUUUCUUUACAUUCCUUGGUUAUUUAGUCUAACCGUUUUCAUAAAACGGACUCAGACUACAAAUGUUUUUGAGCCUGGGUUACAUAUGGCUCAAUGCUGUGACUGUUCAAGGAGAAUCAUCUCUCACUCCUGCAGUGUCACAUUUCUGUCCUUGUAUAACUCACUCAGUUCAGAUACUUAAGUAUUACCAUGUGUCAAAGCCAGGAUAUCAGUUAAACGCACUGCAGUGACCCUCACGUACUUAUGUUAGCAUAACUUAUUUUAAAGGUGCGUCAUAUUAGCGAAAUUUCAGUGACAUAUUGUAUGCAAAAAAUAUCCAUUGUCCAUUGUCAAUAGCAUAGUGAUGUAUAAAGCACAGCUCACAAAUUAAAACCAAGCAGCUUUGUUGGUCUGCACAGCGACUUCAUGUGACUAACUUGAGUGUUACGGCCCUGAGUGUUCUUUUUAUAUUCGUCCACUAGGUGGUGUUGUUCCGUGGUUUUGCCUCUCUUCCAGAGCGAGUGUCAGGUACAUGUGUGGAGUGUUACCUGUGAUUGGAGUUUGGGUUUAAAAGAUGGAGAUUCAGAGAGCAGUGGUGUUGUCUGGACUAGGCUGCCUUUCAUCUUCCCUCUCCAGCCUGGAUUGUUUUAUUUUUGUUUCUUUCUUUAUACUUAUACUUUAUUUUUGUAUUAUUUUGAUUUAUUCUUGAUUAAAUGUUUAUUUGUUAAACUUUUCUGUGUGGCCUCCCCUUUUUGGUAAUGUUACUUCACUUAGAGCCAGGUGGUUGUAACACAAGCGACAUCUGCAUUUGCAACUUUUCCGUCCUCACAUGAAAUUCCCAUUUGCACUGAUUCCUAUUGGAAUGACUAAAAUAAUGAUGUUAAAGGGUCAAAGUUUCGUAAUAAGGUUCAUUCAUAAAUCCUCCAAAUCACUAGGUUUGCCAGGAUGCUGAAGCUUCAUGUCUUGACCUAAAUAAUAAUAAUAAUAAUGUAGUAUAAGCAUUCUAUGAUCAUAAUGAAGAAAGGGUUAAAUAAUAAAAAGAUUUGCCAUUGGCAGUGCUUUAUUAUUAUUAUUAUUAUUAUUAUUAUUUAAUAAAAAAAAAAAAAUGCAAAUAGCUAUUUAUGCCUAUAUUGUCUAUUAGUACAAAGCUAUUACGUGGUCAUGUGACAAGGAAAUCAUACAGAAAAAUGACAUCACAGAUGGGAUAGUUAUGACAAGAGCUGUGUCCCAAAUUACAUACUAUACACUAUGCAGUCUGAUGAUAGCCUUCCCCCUACAUAAUUAAAGCUGUGACAGUUGAGGUCAUGAAGUGUUCAACAUUCUACACUUUGUUUUUUUUCUUUUUUUUCUUUGAUUAAUUAAGUGCAUCAUCCGAGAAUUUGAAGGGCACUUUUUCUUUUUGGAAUUGUGAACACAGUAAUCACGCUAUUUACACUACAAAAUGGCAUAUAGUAGUAAUGCACAAAUACGCAAUUUGGAACACACCUAGGGUCAGUUUUUUGAUCACACAGCAACAGAUUACAGUUGUCAUGUAUUUGAGUCUUUAAUUAGGUUAUGUUCACACACAGUUUGGUUAUUUACAGAAGUGACAACCGCAUUUUUGUAACUGAUCUCACACUCAUACAUUUUUAGAACUCACAACCAGGGCUGGCUAUACAUGGGCAGGUAACACCCGUGAGCUGUAACACCCAAACUAAAAUAUAUAAGAUUUGCAUUAGAAUAACUUUCCCCGAUUUAACUUGAGAUAGGCUAACUGAAAUAUUCAAGUUGUCACUUCACAUUUUCAGUUGACUAAAGGUUGACUAAACACUUUAAGUUGAAACAAUUUUUUACAGUUUACAGAAUGCAAUUUGACUUCUUCAUUUUCAGAACAAAAUGAAUACAUUUUAACUUACAAUGUUACAAAAUAAAAGGAACAUCAAAUUAAGAUGUGUAAUCAAGAAAAAAAAAAAUAGACAAAAUUACAAAAAUAAAGAUGAAUUUUUGUUUGAGAGGCAUCUGAUUCUUACCAUAUAGCGUACCAAUAGUAAUAAAAUAAUUUUAUAUACAAUUUAAUAAUAUGGAUAUAAUAGAUUUAAAGCACCUUGAAUAUUGCAGAGAAACAUUGCUUUAACCGGAGCAACACCAUGAGCAUGGAUGCUGCGUAUAGGCUAAUUCUGUCAUGUGAGACCACAUUUAUUUGAAUUAAAGCCAUUUUUCUCAACAAGAAGUGUUUCAAACUAAUUUUUGCAACAUUUGAAGUAUCAAUAUAGAAUUUAUGCACUAAAGGGGAAAAGAUUGUGUUAAAACUUGAUCCUAGUCCCAGACAAAAACUCAGUGCCAUAGUUUUGUCUCAAGAUGCACACCAGUAAUGUUUUUUUUUGUUUGUUUGUUUGUUUUUCCCUUUUUUUUUUUUCUAAGGCACAUUUAUUAAAGCUACUUAAAUGUCCCAGUUUAACUAAAGCCCAAUCCUGGCUCAAUCUAAGCCCUGUCUAACCAGGCCCUUGAGUCAAGCAGUAAAUAAAUAAACAGAAACUUACUGAAAAUAGUUCAAUAAAAAACAAAAAUAUAUGUGUGUGUGUGUGUUAUAAUCAAAAACAUGAAUAUAAAGAUUAGAUUUCUAGGAACAUUGUCCAUGUCCAGUAGUGCUUCUCAUAGCUGCAGCUAUGAUUGCACCGAAAAAGGCUGGCUCAAGAGUUUAUGCAUAUUUAGAUCAGAAAAUGGUAUGAAUUAUGAGUCUAUACUGCACAGUAUUCAGUUUUAGUGAGCCAGUAUUCCAUUCUGAAAACGCUUAAAGGCUUUAGUGCCAUCUAGUGGAAACCAUGCCAUUAAAAUACUUUUUAAAAUAUAAAAAGUGCAGCAUUUAAAAACUGCAUUAAAGUAAAUAUAUAUAU